UAUUAUUAUUAUUUAUUAUAAAAUUUUAAAAAUUAUUUUUAUAUCCUUCAUCGUUCUUAUUACUCACCUCAAACUUGGAAUCCCAUCCCGCAUACAGCGUCUCUACGGUUGCUGAAGUGUUUUAGAAAAUUCCUUCUGUCUCUGAUCGUAGUUGAUCAAGUCCCUCAGUGAUGUUCUCCAUCGUGUGGCUCAGGACCUGUACAGUGACAUCACUCUUAAAGGUCAUGAACCACGGUAGACUUUUCUGCCUCAUGACAUUCUCCCUACAAACAAAGCUGAUCACAUCACAACUCUUUCAAACCAACGGUAUCGCUAUUUGCAUAUUAAGCCAUGCUAGGCUUUUUAUGUAAAACAGAGACUAUGAAAACACAAACUCAGAUAUUUUUCCAACUAGCAUAAUAACAUGGUAGUCACAAAAUUUGCCUAACAUUUCCGUUUGUAAAAAUUCUGUUUCAAUGUUUUCAUCCUGGCUUAUUUUCUCUGAGGGUAUGAUAAGAAUCUUUUGUAAAAGUCUAGCACCUCUUUCAAAUCUGCAUCUAAUUUUUAAAGACAAGAUCUCCCAAUCUAACAUACAAUAUCGCGUAGGAUUUUGCCAAGUGAAAGUAGAGAGUGUAAAAAUCCCCAAACAAGUCAGUUCAACAAUGUCUGGCCGGUGAUUCCAACCAGGGCCAUGGUUAGUGUAGUCCACCAUGACACCAACUGAGCUAACAGUGCGCCCGGCCUGUGAGGGAAAUGUGUUCAAACACUCCAAAGAAAGGAUCAGUCCUCCUCCUCCCUAUUUCUUUCUGAUUUUCCUUCUCUUUUUCCUCUACCUUCACUUCUACCUUAUAAUCCUCCUACUUCUUUUUCUUGUAGUUAUUAUUAUAUUUAUUUAUUAUUAAAAAAUUUGCAUUAUUUUUAUAUUCUUAAUCAUUUUUAUUACUCACCUCAAACUUGGAAUCCCAUCCCGCCUCCAGUGUCUCUACGGUCGCCGAAGUGUUUUCGAAAAUUCCUUCUGUCUCUGAUCGUAGUUGAUCAAGUCCCUCAGUGAUGUUCUCCAUCGUGUGGUUCAGGACCUGUACAGUGACAUCACUCUUAAAGGUCAUGAACCACGGUAGACUUUUCUGUCGCAUGACAUUCUCAUUACAGACAAAGCUGAUCACAUCACCACUCUUUCAAACCAACGCUGUUGCUAUUUGCAAAUAUAGCUUGUUUUUGUUAUUAUUAUUAUUUAUCAUAAAAUUUUAAAAACUUUUUAUAUCCUUCAUCAUUCUUAUUACUCACCUCAAACUUGGACUCCCAUCCCGCCUACAGCGUCUCUACGGUUGCCGAAGUGUUUUUGAAAAUUCCGUCUGUCUCUGAUCGUAGUUGAUCAAGUUCCUCGGUGAUGUUCUCCAUCGUGUGGCUCAGGACCUGUACAGUGACAUCACUCUUAAAGGUCAUGAACCACGGUAGACUUUUCUGUCACAUGACAUUCUCCCUACAAACAAAGCUAAUCACAUCACAACUCUUUCAAACCAACGGUAUUGCUAUUUGCAAAUUAAGCCAUAUCAGGCUUUUUAUGUAAAACAGAGACUAUGAAAACACAAACUCAGAUAUUUUUCCAACUAGCAUAAUAACAUGGUAGUCACAAAAUUUGCCUAACAUUUCCAUUUGUAAAAUUUCUGUUUCAAUGUUUUCAUCCUGGCUUAUUUUCUCUGAGGGUAUGAUAAGAAUCUUUAGUAAAAGUCCAGCACCUCUUUCAAAACUACGUCUAAUUUUUAAAGACAAGAUCUCCCAAUCUAACUUACAUCUACAGUAAGAUUUUGCCCCGGCGAAAGUAGAGCGAGUAAAAGUCCCCAAACAAGUCAGUUCAACAAUGUCUGGCCGGUGAUUACAACCAGGGCCAUGGUUAGUGUAGUCCAGUAUGAUGUGCAGUAAAGGAAGCCCCCCAUCUUGAUCUCUCCCCACAGUCCCCGAACCACCAUUUUUCUCUCAACAUGAACGUCUUGAAGGGUUGGGGAAACUCAGUUUGCUGUUGCCGAUGGAAGAACGCCAUUCUUCAACAGUAGCGACCUAUGAGCCCACUUAAAUUGUGCUGGUGUUGGAUUAUUGUUCCAACUAUUCUGCCUCCUGAUGCAGCUGAAAAAGGUCUCAAAAUGACCCUGAGAGAGCAGAUAAGUCGUAAAGUAAUCAUACUUCUUCCCUACACUGUUGCGAGUGCAGUAAAACCCUUACUAAACUAAACUUAACUCUUAUUAAACUAAACUAAACUCACCCCUACACUCAAGUGGCGACGUGGGGAACAGGGAAUGAAGGCAAAUGUGGGACUGAAUAUUUUAAUUCCAGAAUAGUGAUUUCUUCAGUCCCAUCGUUUCCUCCUGAAGUUAUGGCUCUGUGCCAAUAUUUGCCUCACAGAAGCUGUCUUUGGCCUUGUUACUUGUACUACUAUUUCACCAUUUUUCUCUCCUAACUUGUCAAAGACAAAAUAUAGUAGGUCUCUUGCAAUUUGAAUGACAACUUGGCGUUGGCGUACCUUGAAAGUUGAAGGCGCUGCAAUGAACCCUGUUUUACUACCAAACGCAUUUGAGAUGCCUUUCCAACAUUGGCAGUCUCCCAUUCCUUCCGUUCGUUGACAUGUGUCUGAGGACAGGUGAACUCAUGAAAAAGUCCAUCUAUUUUUUAAAAAAAUUUUGGCAAAGCGGACACUUUCUUUCUAUGCACUAAAGUUAUCAAAGGUGUCCCUGUCCCAUUUACUAUAAAGAGUGGCACUGAUAGAUCUGUAAGGCCACAGAUUGCACACUCUUUUUUUGCCAGUCUUUUGGCCUGCAACUUCAGCCCCAUUUGUGAUGGGCAUUUAUAAGUUUUUUCCUCCACCGCUGACCUCAUGUGCAGCAAAACUAGAGGUCCCCCUUCCCACAGAGUGGGUGCCUCGUUUACAGUUGAGUGUGACCCAUAUGAAGAAGGAAAAGUGUGUGUGUUUGUAUUUGAGUGUGUGUGUGUGUAGAAAUGUAUACUAGAAUGUGUGCAUGACCUUGUGCAGUUGCGAGCACCGUAAAACCCUUACUAAACUAAGAGUGUAUGCGCCCAUGUAUGUAAUGUAUGUAUGAGUGUGCCUUCAUGUUUGUGAUGAGAAUGCCAUACCUUUUGCCUGUACAUUUAGAAAACACUAUAGUUUGUGUGGGGAAGGGGGAGGGGUCGUAUUUUGUGAGAAUGCUAUACCUUUUGCCUGUACAUAUUUGAAUGCGUCAUAGUUCGUAUGGGGAAGGGGGAGGGGUCGUAUAUUGUGAGAAUGCUGUGCCUUUUGCCUGUACAUAUUUGAAUGCGUCAUAGUUCGUAUGGGGAAGGGGGAGGGGUCGUAUAUUGUGAGAAUGCUGUGCCUUUUGCCUGUACAUUUAGAAUACGCUAAAGUUUGCAUGGGGAAGGGAGUGGGGACAUGUGUUGUGAAAAUGCUAUACCUUUUGUCUGUACAUUUAGAAAACGCUAUGGUUCGUAUGGAGAAGGGGGUGGGGACGUAUUUUGUGAGAAUGCUGUUUCUUUUGCCUGUACAUUUAGAAUAUGUCAUAGUUUGUAUGGGGAAGGGGGUGGGGACAUGUGUUGUGAGAAUGCUGUUCCUUUUGCUGUACAUAUUUGAAUGCGUCAUAGUUCGUAUAGGGAAGGGGGAGGGGUCGUUUAUUGUGAGAAUGCUGUACAUUUAGAAUACGCUAUAGUUUGCAUGGGGCAGGGGGUGGGGACAUAUUUUGUGAGAAUGCUGUUCCUUUUGUCUGUACAUUUAGAAAACGCUAUUGUUCAUAUGGAGGAGGGGGUGGGGACGUAUUUUGUGAGAAUGCUGUAUCUUUUGCCUGUACAUUUAGAAUAUGUCAUAGUUUGUAUGGGGAAGGGGGUGGGGACGUCUGUUGUGAAAAUGCUGUGUCUUUUGCUGUACCUUAUGAUGUGAUAUUUUCAGUCAAGCUGUUCAUCCAUGCUUACUUGUGCAGAUAUUAUUAUGUUUUGGAAUUGUGUGUAUGUGUAUGGUUGUGGGUGUGCUUUCAUCUUUGGAAUGAGAAUGCUUUGCCUUUUGUUUGAAUAUUCUCUUUAUUGUAUUUUUCUAAUGCUUUUCAGCCACAUAUAAAAGUUGUGAAUGAAUUGGAAAAUAGUUUGUGUAUAUGUGACAGAGAGAGAGAGAGAGAGAGAGUAGGGUAGUGCAGUGUGUGUAUGUGGAAGGGGGGGGGUAACAAAUUCAGAAGCAUAGUUUUUUGGUUCUCCAGCUCUCUGAGGACUAACAUGUAUUUUUCCAUUUGUUCAAUUGUAUGCUGAACAGAAUGUAAAGAAGCAUUAUGUUUACAGCUAGUAAGACAUUGCCCAUGAGUAUUUUAGUCUGAUUAGGAUUCUGUGUUUUCUUUGUCUUCUCUAGUGUUUCACUCAGCAUCAUUGUGCUGCUUUUCAAUGUACAUCAUCUUUAUUACAUUUAUUGAAUGCUGUUCAGUAGCACAUGAAAGUACCGCAUUUAUAGUAUUAAGGUGGGGAGGGGGCAUCGUAUUAAUUUUCAUCGUGGAUGGAGGGAGCGAAGCACAGCACGAUUCCAUUUGAUGGGAUAGCAGUGCAGGAGGCUAGGAGUGAGGAGAAGAAGAAGCUGGACUUCCACACAAUGGCAGUCUCUUGUGGAUACACUCAGUGUCAGGUGGGAGUUGAUCUGAACAAGACUGGUCUGGUCUGGUGACAGAGUGAAUGAAGCAGAGGGUACAUCCUUUUGACGAGACCACAGUGGCGGAGGCUGAGUGCUGAGAAAGCUGGCCUUCGUUCGAGACGGUGGCUGUCUCUUGUCUUUACUUGUGGACUCACUAAGUCUCAGAUCUGGAACAUGAUGAAGAAGCAGCUGCAGACCAUGUUUUCAUCUAACGUGGAGACUGCCAACGGUGAUUUGAUGGUGGCCUUGAAACAUGGAGGUCAAGACGCCCACUGUUCUGACAGCUGAUCUACGCUUGAUUCAGCCUUGCUGUGCUACCCUUCCAAACAUUAUGAUAUGUCUAUGGCCCCCUGCUGUUGCUGUUACUACCUGGACUGUGCUGGAGGAAUGGGACGUCCCACUGUUGUGGUGGCUGUGAACACGAAGACAGGAGAUGAACUCCCCAACCACUGGGUCAAAAGGAGAAUGCUCAUGAGUUUGGACUACUCGUCAUCAUCAUCCGGUGCCUUGCCGACUGCUGUGGGCGAUCAUGGACCUCCACUUCACUCUGUCUUGCGU